UACGUAGGGAGCGAGCGUUAUCCGGAUUCAUUGGGCGUAAAGCGCGCGUAGGCGGCGAUGCAAGCGGAACCUCUAAUCUGAGGGCUCAACCCCCAGCCGGGUUCCGAACUGCACCGCUCGAGUGUGGUAGGGGUGGAUGGAAUUCCCGGUGUAGCGGUGAAAUGCGCAGAUAUCGGGAAGAACACCGAUGGCGAAGGCAGUCCACUGGGCCAUCACUGACGCUGAGGUGCGAAAGCGUGGGGAGCGAACA
rnacentral:rRNA from 1 species